GCAAACGCAUACUGUAUCGUGCAUGGCAGUGCAGCCAAUAUACAACCAUACACAGCGGCUUCUUUUCAUUUAGGCCUAUCUCGUUCGGAUUACAGCCGGGUAGAUAUCAGACAGGAUAUGUACCACAGUAUCCAUGGAUUUAUUUUUACAAUUUUCUGUCUAUUUCUGAUUUUCCAAUUUCUGGAACUUUGAGCUCUUUGUGUGUUUUUUGUUGCUUGUUUGUGCAUCCUUUUGGAAGGGUGCUCUGCGCUCCCGUACGUUGUGUGUUGGUUGAAAGGUCCCAGUUUGGAUAUUACACUCUAGUUUUUGUCUUCGCUCACACUGGCCAUAAUGACUGAGCGCUGUUCCAGCCUUCUGUCGGCUUCAGCAGGAAAACCUCCGUCUAAAGUUUGAAUAUAACCGUGGUUUAGGGGGUCCGUGACUACAUAGUGAACUGGAUUUGCAAUUAUCUAUCGAUUGCAACCGAGAGCGGAUAUACAGUCUCCGCAAACAGAGUUCCCUCUGCUGGAUUUAUUCAACUACUGGAUUUAUUCAUAAAUCAUGAAGACCAGUCUUGUUGAGGAGAUUUACCCCGAUGCUGCCAGUGGCUUGCAGCUAUCAAGAAUGAUGCUUAUGGUGACCAAAGAUUAUCAGAGGAAUUUUCAGGCUGAACUGAUCGGUAAUCCAUUUCGACGACAGCUGAGAAAUGAUGUGAUACCGUCAAUGUUUUUCUUCGCAACAAAAUAGAAGAUUCUCGAUUGGAGGCAGUACAGAAUCUGAUUCCACCAGCCUGUGCUUCCAACCCCUAGCUCUGCAGAAGAUGAAGGUUAUUUCGAGUCCUUCCACAGUGCCCUGCUGAAAAAUACCCAAAGCGGCAGCAUGAGGGAGCGGACACACAACAAGAGCACAACAAGAUUGUGGGACAGAAACCAGCAAGGCACACUGAAAGGGCAGACAUCAUCAUUAAACGUUGACCUACCAGCGCCAUCACCCACUGUCACAGGACACCAGCACCCACUUACCCCAACAGGGCUCAACUUACUCCAUACCCGAGGACAGAGGAGGUGAUGUGGCGUUUCCCUGGGUCUGGGCUCAUCCUUUACGCUGGAGAUAAAGAGAAGAGGGAUGAUAGCUUCCCAGUGUGGACAUGCAGUGGGCCAGGGCUCAAACUUUGGAAUGAAAAAGGUGACUGAUCCAUGGAGGGCUCUAAUGUAAAGAACACAUUUAUCGGCCUUAUCAGGAGACAGGGAGGAGGCAGAGGAGAUAGCCGAGCGCAGAAUAGUAUAUUGGUGUAGGUGGAAGUAAGACUCUGUCUCUCUGUCGCUCUCUCCUUCUUUUCCUCCUUAUCACGGCGUCUCCUCUGCAGAAAAUCAAUUUUCCUGCUGCAGGGCUCUUUGUCUGCACAGGGUACAGUGAUACAUCUGUUAAAUAAUGCACAGGCCUUUCUCUCUUCAUUCCUCUAAAGGAGAACAACUGCUCAGCUCGGCUUGCAACGACAGUGGUUCCCAACCUUUUUUGGGUACUGUACCCCUAAAACACUUUGACCUGCCUGAAGUGUGUGUGCGACCAGCGUGAUUCCUAGAUUAGGUGUACAUUUGACAAAAAUGUGGUUUACGCACCCAGUCAAGUUUGGCAGACUUCUUUUCAGUGUCAGGGAAGCAGUGGUGUGUAUUCAUGGAUUGACCAAUAAAAUUAAAUAAAAACAAAAAAUGAUGUAUCUUUCGUCUCUCUGUGUUUCAUAAUUUUCCUUCAAUUCACAAUUGGC
rnacentral:lncRNA from 1 species